CUGCCACUGGGGAUGGUUCUCUGGUUGGUGGUCCCUCCCUAGUGGAGUUUUCCUGGGAGUGUAGCCCUUUAGAGACAGAGUCCCCUCAAGAGAAAAAAGGCAUAUAAAAAGGAAGCUGAAAUUCCUCAAGGAUAACGGGAGUACCCAGGAAUUAUUUUUGGCUGUUGAAAUACUUGUAUGUAGCUGGCACCUUGAACAUUAAGGAAAGGCAGCCGUUCUCCAAAAACACAGAAGCUUUGCUUGUUUUAAGCAUCAAUUGUGACAACAUCAUUAGAAAAUCAGCAUCAUUACAACCACAAGGACCUUUUCCAUGUGAGAAUGCGUAAAACAUUAGAAGUGAACUUCUGUCUUCUGACAUGUGUUGCACCCUCCAAAUGAGCUGGAAAGAAAGUAGGAGUUUAUCAGGCAUCAAGUUCAGCCAUCCAAAUAUCGCAAUCCUCAUUUUUGUUGCUAGUCGUAUGCAAUUUUGAAAUGGUUUGUAAAUUUAAUUGUCAGUGUAUAGAGUAUGCUCAGGCCAUGCAAAAGCAACAGCACUGCCUAGGAUUAGCAGCUGUAUUUCUUAGGCAAGUAGGUCUAACCUGCUUUGUUGGAAGCAAAAUUGCCCCUGUGCUGUUUUAGCAAGGUGGCAGACAGAUAGGGUGACACUUGGUGCUGUGAACACUCAGAAAUGGUAGCACUUCUGGGUCAUCAGUCGCUCCACUAUAAAGCUGGAGCAAAGUUAUCUGCUUAUAUUGCCUGUUGUUACUACUUCCAAUGGCCAGGAGAUGAAAACAGAGGAUCUCCUUCCUUUUUACUGCACUAAUAUUAUGAAUGAUGGUAAUUGUGUUGUUUUUUUUUUCUUGUUUGUUUGUUUUUUUCAGGCUGAUGAGAAUCAGCAUUCAUUUUGGAAUUUUUGCUAUUGAUGGUCAGUACUUAAGUUAGGCAUCACUAUAAAUCAAGAUUUAGAACAUAUCUUGUCCCAGUGCGCGCUUCUACUCCUUGUGUGUUACAACUUACGUGAAUGAUUGGAUGCCAUAUUAAACUACUAUAUUACGCUAUAGUCUA